CUAGGUGGAGGACUUGGCUUGAAACGCCGAUGAAGGGUGUGGCAAGCUGCAGAAAGUCCCGGCGAGGUGCACGCAACCUUUGAACCGGGAAUUCCUGAAUGCGACUUCGCAUCCCUUUAUGGGAUACUCCGUAAGGAGAGGGAACGCGGGGAACUGAAACAUCUAAGUACCCGCAGGAAAAGAAAUCAAUAGAGAUGUCGUGAGUAGCAGCGAGCGAAAGCGACACAGGGCAAACCGAAUCCUCCAAGGUAACUUGGGGGAAAUGUGGUGUUUUAGGACUUCCUUUUAAACCUUCAUCUCAACUGUAAGUUUCCUGGAAUGGAACGCCGAAGAGGGUGAAAGCCCCGUGCAGGCAGAGUUGAAGGUUGUGGAAGUAUCCUGAGUACCGUAUCCUGGAUACGAUGCGGGAAUUUGGGAGCCAUCUACUUCCAACCCUAAAUACGUUUCAAGUCCGAUAGCGAAUAGUACCGUGAGGGAACGUUGAAAAGAACCCUUAACAGGGAGUGAAAAGAUCCUGAAACCUAGUAGUUAUAGAUUGUUGCGGCUCUACGGAGUUGCAACGUGCGUUUUGAAUAACGUGCCAGGGAGUUUGGGUAAGUGGCAAGGAUAACUCUUGUAGAGGUAUCCGUAGCGAAAGCGACAGCUCGCAGUUUACGAGGAGCGAGGUCUUAAUAGGGCCUGGAGUCACUUGCUCAUGACCCGAAACCGCUCGAUCUAUGCCUGGGCAGGGUGAAGCUCCGGUAAAACGGAGUGGAGGCCCGCAGAGGUGCUGUGGACAAGCGUUCUUCUGACCUGGGUAUAGGGGUGAAAAGCCAAUCGAGAGCGGUAAUAGCUGGUUCCUGCCAAAGUUGGCCGUAGUCAAGCCUUCCGUGAGCUUGAAGUGGCGGUAGAGAUACGGAUUGGGGGUUUAGGGGGAGAAAUCCCUCGGCUCCCUGUCCAACUCCGAAUGCCAUUUCUGCGAAGACCGGAGGAGACGGGGCCGCGGGGUAAGCUUGCGGUCCGAGAGGGGAACAACCCAGACUACAGUUAAGGCCCCUAAAUGCUCGUUAAGUGUUAAAGGGUGAAGAGUGUCUGGAGCCUAAGACAGAGAGGAGGUUGGCUUAGAAGCAGCCACCCUUUAAAAAGUGCGUAACAGCUUACUCUUCGAGGUUUCAGGCCUCUAAGAUGGACGGGGCUAAACGAGCUGCCGAUACUGUAGGCCCACAAUGUUGUGGUGCGGUAGGCAAGGCGUCCCGGUAGGGUAGAACUUUUCUCGAGAGAGAAAAGGGACCUUUCGGGAAUGAAAAUCCUGGUGGGAGUAGGACCAUAGUAUCGUGAGAAUCGAUACCACCGAAAGGGCAAGGGUUCCUCAACACUGCUCGUCAGUUGAGGGUUAGUCGAUCCUAACCGAUGCUCUAACCGAGUGAUCGGGAAAGGGAAAAAGGUUAAUAUUCCUUUACCAAGAGGAUACGUGCGGCAACGCAAGGAUUAUUUGCGACGCAUCCGGCUAGGCAGACACUUCUCGUCUGGAGUGUUAACCAGGAUAGUUCGAGGGAGUGUUGUAAUGACGAGAACUCGAACAAACUGGGAUGAGUAGUACCAAGAGUACUAUUCUGUCGAUGCCAGGUGUCCAUGAAAAGCAAAUAAUCAAGGAUUCCUCUUGUUCGUACCAACAACCGGCACAGGUGCCCCUAGGUUAGUAGCCUUAGGUGUAUAGGCUUAAUCAAGUCAAGGGAAUUCGGCAAAUUAGCCCCGUGCCUUCGGCAGAAGGGGUCCCUGCUUCUGUGCUUUUGAGUGUGGAAGCAGGGCGCAGUGACUAGGGCGGUCCGACUGUUUAACAAAAACUUAACUUCGCGCAAAGUCGUAAGGCUUAGUAUGCGAAGUGACGUCUGCCCAGUGCCCGUAGUUUAAGCUCUCUUCCAAGAGAGUGAAGACCGGGUAAACGGCGGGAGUAACUAUAACUCUCUUAAGGUAGCGAAAUACCUUGUCGUUUGAAUGACGACGUGCAUGAAUGGCGUAACGAGAUCGCCACUGUCCCUGACUUGAAGCCUCCGAAAUCUCCAUUCUGGUGCAAAGGCCAGAGAGUCCCAGUGGGAAGCGAAGACCCCGUGAAACUUUACUGUAGCCUGCCGCUGCGAUGCGGGUCCUGAUGUGCAGCGUAGGUAGGAGCCGUCGAAGAAUAUCCGUCAGGGUAUUUGGAGGCGCCAAUGAGACACUACCCUUCAGGGCUUGCAUCGCUAACCUCUAAGAGGGACAACGGUUGGUGGACAGUUUGGCUGGGGUGGCACUCUGCUGAAAAGGUAUCAGUAGAGCCCAAAGGUCAGCUCAGACGGGUCAGAAAUCCGUCGUAGAGUGCAAGAGCAUAAGCUGGCUUGACUGUGUUCUUAAUAAGAAGGAACGCAGAAAGGAAACUUGGGUCUAGCGAACCCCUGUGCCUCAUUGAUGGGGGCCAGGGAUAACCGAAAAGUUACUCCGGGGAUAACAGAGUUGUCUAGCCCGAGAGUUCACAUCGACGGCUAGGCUUGCUACAUCGAUGUCGGCUCAUCCUAUCCUGGCCGUGCAGAAGCGGCCAAGGGUGGGGGUGUUCACCCAUUAAAAGGGUUCGUGAGCUGGGUUCAGAACGCCGCGAGGCAGUUUGUUUGAUAUCUACUGGGACUGUCAGGUGUCUGAGGGGAAGGACUAUCUAGUACGAGAGGAACGAUAGUUCGAGGCCUCUGGUGUACCUGUUGUCCGACAGGGCAUAGCAGGGCAGCUACGCCUUAGCUGAUAAGUGCUGAAAGCAUCUAAGCACGAAGCAGUCCUCGAAAAGAGACACCUUAGGGCGCUCAUACAAUAUGAGUUUGAUAGGACUGGCGUGUAAGCGUCAAGGCAAC
rnacentral:rRNA from 1 species